rnacentral:lncRNA from 1 species
GGUGCUGGCGCAGGCGCUAAGAUGUUUAUAAUAAUUUAAGCUUAACGCUCGGAAAAUACUUUCUAAGGAGCAAGGAAAUGCUUUUUCUGAUGAGAUGGAUCCAGAUGUGGACCACGGCUCACCACAGGAUGACUCCCGCCAGCAUUCCCUGCAGACUCUCAAAGGGCAUCCAUGCAGUGGCGCGUGUGACACUCCACGCAGCAAGGCUCUGCCGCAGGGCCUGGUGUGGACUAAACAGAGUCGGUUAGAAAAGUGUUCUGAUGCAGUCACAGCUUUCAAGGCCUCAGCUUGCAUAAUUACAAGGGGCAGGAGCUGAAAUUUCAUCUGUGCGACAUCAGCUCAAAAGGAGCCGAGACUGGAAGAAACCGGGAGCUAUGA